GUCCACGCCCUAAACGAUGCAUACUUGGUGUGGGCUCUUCACUGAGUCCGUGCCGGAGCUAACGCGUUAAGUAUGCCGCCUGGGGAGUACGGUCGCAAGGCUGAAACUCAAAGGAUUGACGGGGCCGCACAAGCGGUGGAGCAUGUGGUUCAAUUCGACGCAACGCGAAGAACCUUACCUGGGCUCGAACGGCUGUGGACCGCGGCAGAAAUGUCGCUUUCCCUUCGGGGACUGCAGUCGAGGUGCUGCAUGGCUGUCGU
rnacentral:rRNA from 1 species